rnacentral:rRNA from 1 species
GGGUUGUGAGGUUAAGCGACUAAGCGUACACGGUGGAUGCCCUGGCAGUCAGAGGCGAUGAAGGGCGUGCUAAUCUGCGAUAAGCGCCGGUAAGGUGAUAUGAACCGUUAUAACCGGCGAUACCCGAAUGGGGAAACCCAGUGUGAUUCGUCACACUAUCAUUAACUGAAUCCAUAGGUUAAUGAGGCGAACCGGGGGAACUGAAACAUCUAAGUACCCCGAGGAAAAGAAAUCAACCGAGAUUCCCCCAGUAGCGGCGAGCGAACGGGGAGGAGCCCAGAGCCUGAAUCAGCAUGUGUGUUAGUGGAAGCGUCUGGAAAGGCGCGCGAUACAGGGUGACAGCCCCGUACACAAAAGCGCAUGUGCUGUGAGCUCGAUGAGUAGGGCGGGACACGUGGUAUCCUGUCUGAAUAUGGGGGGACCAUCCUCCAAGGCUAAAUACUCCUGACUGACCGAUAGUGAACCAGUACCGUGAGGGAAAGGCGAAAAGAACCCCGGCGAGGGGAGUGAAAAAGAACCUGAAACCGUGUACGUACAAGCAGUGGGAGCACCCUUUGGGUGUGACUGCGUACCUUUUGUAUAAUGGGUCAGCGACUUAUAUUCUGUAGCAAGGUUAACCGAAUAGGGGAGCCGGAGGGAAACCGAGUCUUAACCGGGCGUUAAGUUGCAGGGUAUAGACCCGAAACCCGGUGAUCUAGCCAUGGGCAGGUUGAAGGUUGGGUAACACUAACUGGAGGACCGAACCGACUAAUGUUGAAAAAUUAGCGGAUGACCUGUGGCUGGGGGUGAAAGGCCAAUCAAACCGGGAGAUAGCUGGUUCUCCCCGAAAGCUAUUUAGGUAGCGCCUCGUGAAUUCAUCUCCGGGGGUAGAGCACUGUUUCGGCUAGGGGGCCAUCCCGGCUUACCAACCCGAUGCAAACUGCGAAUACCGGAGAAUGUUAUCACGGGAGACACACGGCGGGUGCUAACGUCCGUCGUGAAGAGGGAAACAACCCAGACCGCCAGCUAAGGUCCCAAAGUCAUGGUUAAGUGGGAAACGAUGUGGGAAGGCCCAGACAGCCAGGAUGUUGGCUUAGAAGCAGCCAUCAUUUAAAGAAAGCGUAAUAGCUCACUGGUCGAGUCGGCCUGCGCGGAAGAUGUAACGGGGCUAAACCAUGCACCGAAGCUGCGGCAGCGACACUGUGUGUUGUUGGGUAGGGGAGCGUUCUGUAAGCCUGUGAAGGUGUGUCGUGAGGCAUGCUGGAG